rnacentral:rRNA from 1 species
AGAGUUUGAUCCUGGCUCAGGAUGAACGCUGGCGGCGUGCCUAACACAUGCAAGUCGAACGGGAACCCCUGGAUUCGUCUGGGGGUGAGAGUGGCGAAUGGGUGAGUAACACGUAGGUGACCUGCCCCAAAGAGGGGAAUAACCGCUGGAAACGGUGGCUAAUACCCCAUGUACUCGGCGGUUCGAUCCGUCGAGCAAAGCUCCGGCGCUUUGGGAGGGGCCUGCGGCCCAUCAGGUAGUUGGUAGGGUAAUGGCCUACCAAGCCAAUGACGGGUAGGGGGCGUGAGAGCGUGAUCCCCCACACUGGCACUGACACACGGGCCAGACUCCUACGGGAGGCAGCAGUGAGGAAUAUUGAGCAAUGGGCGAAAGCCUGACUCAGCAACGCCGCGUGGGCGAUGAAGGCCUUCGGGUUGUAAAGCCCUUUUCUGAGGGACGAGUAAGGACGGUACCUCAGGAAUAAGUCACGGCUAACUACGUGCCAGCAGCCGCGGUAAUACGUAGGUGGCUAGCGUUAUCCGGAAUUACUGGGCGUAAAGCGCGUGUAGGUGGUUUCGUAAGUCGGACGUGAAAGCUCCUGGCUUAACUGGGAGAGGUCGUUCGAAACUGCGAGGCUUGAGGUCGGGAGAGGGACGUGGAAUUCCCGGUGUAGUGGUGGAAUGCGUAGAUAUCGGGAGGAACACCAGUGGCGAAGGCGACGUCCUAGCCCGCACCUGACACUCAGACGCGAAAGCGUGGGGAGCGAACGGGAUUAGAUACCCCGGUAGUCCACGCUGUAAACGGUGGAUACUAGGUGUUGGUGGCUAUCGUCAUCAGUGCCGUAGCUAACGCGUUAAGUAUCCCGCCUGAGGUCUACGGCCGCAAGGCUAAAACUCAAAGGAAUUGACGG